ACGCCGGCGUUGCCAAUCAUGAUGAUGACGGGCUUGGCGCGCCUGUCGCAUUCAGUCUGGCGCAUGUCGUCCCACUUGCGCGCGAGCGCCUCCAGGUCGUCGCUCUCGCACUUGGGCGUGCGCUGGUCGUCUCUCUUGGGUCCCGCAUGACGCGGCGCGGCGGCGGCGCGGGUCUGGCCCUUGUUGUCGGCGACGGCGGGCGUGCUCGGCUUGGCUCCCAUUUGUACUCGUCCUUUUGCUUCCUUUUUUUUCUCGGUGGCAGUGUGUAUGUAUGCGCG
rnacentral:lncRNA from 1 species